rnacentral:rRNA from 1 species
UACAGAGGGUGCGAGCGUUAAUCGGAGUUACUGGGCGUAAAGGGCGCGUAGGCGGUCAUUUAAGAUUGAUGUGAAAUCCCUGGGCUUAACCUAGGAACUGCAUUGAUUACUGGAUGGCUGGAGUACUGUAGAGGGUAGUGGAAUUUCCGGUGUAGCGGUGAAGUGCGUAGAGAUCGGAAGGAACACCAGUGGCGAAGGCGGCUACCUGGACAGAUACUGACGCUGAGGCGCGAGAGCGUGGGGAGCAAACAGG